rnacentral:tRNA from 1 species
GCGGGGUAGAGGAGUGGUUCCUUGCCAGUUUCAUAGGCUGGAGACGCAGGUUCGAAUCCUGCCCACCGCA